CUUUUUGAGGCCCCCCACCCGAAAAAAUUUUGUGUGGUGUAUUAUUUCGGGGGAAGGGCCCCCGUGUGGCCCUCUCAGGGGGGUACCGGGCAGCGCGGCGGGCCCACACGGGCCAGGGAAUUUGGCCGAGUUCCCCCCGGGAGCCCCUGUUGGCAUUUUCCGAAAUGGAAGAAGUCCGCCGGAGCAACGCCGGAUGAUGUAUGAAGUUUUACGAUUGUUAAGGUUUGUUGUCAAGAACGACAAGUGCGAGAGUAACUGCUUGCACCUUGACCGUACCUAACCAGAAAGCCACGGCUAACUACGUGCCAGCAGCUGCGGUAAUACGUAGGUGGCAAGCGUUGUCUGAAUUAUUGGGCGUAAAGGGCUCGCAGGCGGUUUCUUAAGUCUGAUGUGAAAGCCCCCGGCUCAACCGGGGAGGGUCAUUGGAAACUGGGAAACUUGAGUGCAGAAGAGGAGAGUGGAAUUCCACGUGUAGCGGUGAAAUGCGUAGAGAUGUGGAGGAACACCAGUGGCGAAGGCGACUCUCUGGUCUGUAACUGACGCUGAGGAGCGAAAGCGUGGGGAGCGAACAGGAUUAGAUACCCUGGUAGUCCACGCCGUAAACGAUGAGUGCUAAGUGUUAGGGGGUUUCCGCCCCUUAGUGCUGCAGCUAACGCAUUAAGCACUCCGCCUGGGGAGUACGGUCGCAAGACUGAAACUCAAAGGAAUUGACGGGGGCCCGCACAAGCGGUGGAGCAUGUGGUUUAAUUCGAAGCAACGCGAAGAACCUUACCAGGUCUUGACAUCCUCUGACAACCCUAGAGAUAGGGCUUUCCCUUCGGGGACAGAGUGACAGGUGGUGCAUGGUUGUCGUCAGCUCGUGUCGUGAGAUGUUGGGUUAAGUCCCGCAACGAGCGCAACCCUUGAUCUUAGUUGCCAGCAUUUAGUUGGGCACUCUAAGGUGACUGCCGGUGACAAACCGGAGGAAGGUGGGGAUGACGUCAAAUCAUCAUGCCCCUUAUGACCUGGGCUACACACGUGCUACAAUGGACAGAACAAAGGGCUGCGAGACCGCAAGGUUUAGCCAAUCCCAUAAAUCUGUUCUCAGUUCGGAUCGCAGUCUGCAACUCGACUGCGUGAAGCUGGAAUCGCUAGUAAUCGCGGAUCAGCAUGCCGCGGUGAAUACGUUCCCGGGCCUUGUACACACCGCCCGUCACACCACGAGAGUUUGCAACACCCGAAGUCGGUGAGGUAACCUUUAUGGAGCCAGCCGCCGAAGGUGGGGCAGAUGAUUGGGGGAAGUCGAACCAAGGUUGCCUGG
rnacentral:rRNA from 1 species